UACGUAGGGUGCAAGCGUUGUCCGGAAUUAUUGGGCGUAAAGAGCUCGUAGGCGGUUUGUCGCGUCGGCUGUGAAAGCCCGGAGCUCAACUCCGGGUCUGCAGUCGAUACGGGGCAGACUUGAGUGUUGCAGGGGGAGACUGGAAUUCCUGGUGUAGCGGUGAAAUGCGCAGAUAUCAGGAGGAACACCGGUGGCGAAGGCGGGUCUCUGGGCAACAACUGACGCUGAGGAGCGAAAGCGUGGGGAGCGAACAGG
rnacentral:rRNA from 1 species